UACGUAGGGUGCAAGCGUUGUCCGGAAUUAUUGGGCGUAAAGAGCUCGUAGGCGGUUUGUCGCGUCUGCUGUGAAAACUCGGGGCUUAACCCCGGGCCUGCAGUGGGUACGGGCAGACUAGAGUGCGGUAGGGGGAGACUGGAAUUCCUGGUGUAGCGGUGAAAUGCGCAGAUAUCAGGAGGAACACCGGUGGCGAAGGCGGGUCUCUGGGCCGUAACUGACGCUGAGGAGCGAAAGCGUGGGGAGCGAACAGG
rnacentral:rRNA from 1 species